AGAGUUUGAUCAUGGCUCAGAUUGAACGCUGGCGGAAUGCUUUACACAUGCAAGUCGAACGGCAGCACGGGGGCAACCCUGGUGGCGAGUGGCGAACGGGUGAGUAAUACAUCGGAACGUGCCCAGUCGUGGGGGAUAACUACGCGAAAGCGUAGCUAAUACCGCAUACGAUCUACGGAUGAAAGCGGGGGAUCGCAAGACCUCGCGCGAUUGGAGCGGCCGAUGGCAGAUUAGGUAGUUGGUGGGGUAAAGGCUCACCAAGCCAUCGAUCUGUAGCUGGUCUGAGAGGACGACCAGCCACACUGGGACUGAGACACGGCCCAGACUCCUACGGGAGGCAGCAGUGGGGAAUUUUGGACAAUGGGCGCAAGCCUGAUCCAGCCAUUCCGCGUGCAGGAUGAAGGCCCUCGGGUUGUAAACUGCUUUUGUACGGAACGAAAAGGCGCUUUCUAAUACAGAGCGCUCAUGACGGUACCGUAAGAAUAAGCACCGGCUAACUACGUGCCAGCAGCCGCGGUAAUACGUAGGGUGCAAGCGUUAAUCGGAAUUACUGGGCGUAAAGCGUGCGCAGGCGGUGAUGUAAGACAGAUGUGAAAUCCCCGGGCUCAACCUGGGAACUGCAUUUGUGACUGCAUUGCUGGAGUGCGGCAGAGGGGGAUGGAAUUCCGCGUGUAGCAGUGAAAUGCGUAGAUAUGCGGAGGAACACCGAUGGCGAAAGCAAUCCCCUGGGCCUGCACUGACGCUCAUGCACGAAAGCGUGGGGAGCAAACAGGAUUAGAUACCCUGGUAGUCCACACCCUAAACGAUGUCAACUGGGUUGUUGGGUCUUCACUGACUCAGUAACGAAGCUAACGCGUGAAGUUGACCGCCUGGGGGAGUACGGCCGCAAGGUUGAAA
rnacentral:rRNA from 1 species